AGAGUUUGAUCCUGGCUCAGGAUGAACGCUGGCGGCGUGCCUAACACAUGCAAGUCGAGCGAUUUACUUCGGUAAAGAGCGGCGGACGGGUGAGUAACGCGUGGGUAACCUGCCCUGUACACACGGAUAACAUACCGAAAGGUAUGCUAAUACGAGAUAAAGUACUUUUAUCGCAUGGUAGAAGUAUCAAAGCUUUUGCGGUACAGGAUGGACCCGCGUCUGAUUAGCUAGUUGGUAAGGUAACGGCUUACCAAGGCGACGAUCAGUAGCCGACCUGAGAGGGUGAUCGGCCACAUUGAAACUGAGACACGGUCCAAACUCCUACGGGAGGCAGCAGUGGGGAAUAUUGCACAAUGGGCGAAAGCCUGAUGCAGCAACGCCGCGUGAGCGAUGAAGGCCUUCGGGUCGUAAAGCUCUGUCCUCAAGGAAGAUAAUGACGGUACUUGAGGAGGAAGCCCCGGCUAACUACGUG
rnacentral:rRNA from 1 species